CAACUUUCAGCAGUGGAUGUCUAGGCUCGCACAUCGAUGAAGAACGCUGCGAACUGCGAUACGUAAUGCGAAUUGCAGGAUUCAGUGAGUCAUCGAAAUUUUGAACGCAUAUUGCACUUUCGGGUUCUGCCUGGAAGUAUGUCUGUAUCAGUGUCCGUACA
rnacentral:rRNA from 1 species